rfam:Cajanus cajan chromosome 8, whole genome shotgun sequence.
AGAGUACGACUUGAGCCAAGGAUGACUUGCCGGCAUCUGUGAAAGCUUAAUCCUUUUUGCAGUGUUGCCGGCGAGAUAUCCAGGCUCAUUUUUGCUCU